AGUGCUGAUCUGCUGAGGAUUGGCAUCGGGGGACCCAAACUUUGGGGUGAAUGAAUCGGCAACGAUUCUAGGGAAGCUCUUGGCCCGAACCCGUCAGCUAACCCCGUAGGCGUGAGAGAGAGGAA
rnacentral:sRNA from 1 species